rnacentral:tRNA from 1 species
CGAUCGGUAGCCAAGCCCGGUCAAGGCACCUGCCUUUUAAGCAGGGGAUCGUGGGUUCAAAUCCCACCCGAUCGGCCA